AAUCCCCUGAUUCUCCGCGACUUCCUCCACGUCCUUCCCGAGCUCAUCCUCCCAAGGAAUAGAGCCGUCAUCCCAUUCGGAUUCAUCCCAGCGUUCGCAGCCUCCUUCCCAUUCGCGAUAGCAUUCAACCACCCACGGAUAAGUCCCGGUUGUUUGCCUGUGAUUCUCCGUGUCUGUUCUUCAAGCGUAAUCCAUCUUCUUCCGCUAGAUCUCAGCGAGGAUGAGCCUUCCAAACCAGC
rnacentral:lncRNA from 1 species